CCAAUAUUUAAGUCUUCAAAUUUGCAAUUCUGGCCUAUAUUGGGUUCUAUUCGAGAAUUUCCAGAUAUAUCUGUAUUAGUGCUCGGAAUAUGGGCUGGUGAAUCGAAGCCUUUGUUGAAUGAAUACCUAUUGCCUCUUGUGAAUGAACUUAAAAUGGUUUUGAUAGAUGGGAUCCGAAUUAACUCACAACAUGUGACUAUUAAACUUGGUCAAAUUAUCUGCGAUACACCAGCUAGAUCGUUUUUGAAGGGCACAGUUUCAUUCAAUCAUCGAAACGGAUGUCAGAAGUGUUCUACGUUUGGUGAAUAUUCCAAAGAAUUUCAUACAAUGAGUUUUCCAAAACUCGAUUCGCCUUUGCGAACGGACGAAACAUUCAGAAGACGUUCU